UCACUUACCUGGACGGGAUCUAUGAGUGAUCAAUAAGGCUCAUGGCCUAGAUCAAUGGCUCACAUUGCACUUUGUGAGUACGUUGAUCUACCAUCUCCCCUUCGAGGGAGAGUGGACGUCGUAGUUUGUGAUAGAGGGGGUACGUGUUCGCGCAGCCCCUGC
rnacentral:snRNA from 2 species